AAAAAUCACUAAAAUUAAGAUUCUUAAAAUUUUGAAAUUAUCCCUAAUACACAAUCAAUAUAACCAAACUUCUAAAUACAGAAAAGAUCACAGUCCAUCAUAGCAUCAACUUUUAGCGAGAUCAGCAAGGAAUAUGUAUACACGAUAAAAGAGAUAUUCAUUCCUUUUAUCUUUGAAACCCUUCUCUUCAACUAAAUAACAAUACUAGAUAAGUUGUUCUUUAUGUAUAACAAAUGAAUUCCAUAUAUAUUAACCAGUUUUGGGUCAGAAAACUUUUACAUUUAUUGCAAAAAUUUCACGUCCAAGUUGUCAACCAAAGUAAAUAACUACCCCAUCUCCACCAAGUGUCUGAUUUUCUGAAGGACUGAUCUACUAGGCGGAUAAAUUUCUCUUCGUGCAUCUUAGCCAAGUAAUUUAAUUAUCUUUCUUCCUUUCUGUGUAUGAAAUUUUUAUUCAACUUCAAUGUUAUUGCUCAUUAGCGACUGACAACAAAUCAACAACACUUCCGAAAUGUAAUCAAACAAUAUAAGAAUUCAAAACAAGGAGUUAUCAUAAAAUUCCAUAAACCCGUUAGCCAUCAACUCAAUUCCUUCAAGCAAAUUCCUAAAGCAAUAACCAGUCAUCAAUUAACGAGUCAUGACUCAUGACUACUGAAUUCAACACACCGAAAUCACCAAUUUUCAAAUUUUUGAACCCGAACAAAGCAAGAGAAAUACAAAAAUAAAUAACUGGUUUCCCAAUUAAAGUGAAAAAAAAAAAGAAAAUCAAAUACUACACCUCGUUUAAUUUAUCUAACGUGGUUAGAGCAUUUGUUUCCUGCUUAGGUUUCCUGAACAGUCGAUUAAACAUGAUGAACUCUUUGAGAUCAAAAUCCCCAAUCGCCUGUUCAACAACAAUCACCAAAACGAUAAGAUCAGAUCAAAACAAACAUAAUAAAACAAUCAAUAAAUCACUCAUAACAGGAAAAAGAAACAAAAGAAUCAAUAAAAAGUAAAGAAUAUUACAAAAAGGGGGAAAUGUUCUAACCUGUAAAACUUGAGAUUUUAGAGAUUUGAGGGAUUUAAUAUUGAUUUACUAGUCACAUCUAACUCUUAACGACAAACUCGGCAUGUUUUAUGUGAUUCAAGCCAAUGAUCAAUGCAUUCUUGGUGGAAAAGGGAAAAAAAGGGAGGAGGGAAGGGGUUAGGGAAAAAAAGGGAGGAGGGAAGUCUGAAAGGGGACGGGGAAAUGGGAAACGUAAAAGGUAAAUGAAAUAAUAAAUUAAAAUAUAUAUUAAUAAUAUCCGUGCCGGGC
rnacentral:lncRNA from 1 species